UCUGCCCUCAGGAGGGGGAUAACGGUUGGAAACGACCGCUAAUACCCCAUAUGCCGAGAGGUGAAAUGAAUUUCGCCUGAGGAUGAGCUCGCGUCUGAUUAGUUAGUUGGUGGGGUAAUGGCCUACCAAGGCGACGAUCAGUAUCUGGUCUGAGAGGAUGAUCAGCCACACUGGGACUGAGACACGGCCCAGACUCCUACGGGAGGCAGCAGUGGGGAAUUUUCCGCAAUGGGCGAAAGCCUGACGGAGCAACGCCGCGUGAGGGAUGAAGGCCUCUGGGCUGUAAACCUCUUUUAUCAAGGAAGAAGAUCUGACGGUACUUGAUGAAUAAGCCACGGCUAAUUCCGUGCCAGCAGCCGCGGUAAUACGGGAGUGGCAAGCGUUAUCCGGAAUUAUUGGGCGUAAAGCGUCCGCAGGCGGUCUGUCAAGUCUGCUGUUAAAGCGUGGAGCUUAACUCCAUUUCGGCAGUGGAAACUGACAGACUAGAGUGUGGUAGGGGCAGAGGGAAUUCCCGGUGUAGCGGUGAAAUGCGUAGGUAUCGGGAAGAACACCAGUGGCGAAGGCGCUCUGCUGGGCCAUAACUGACACUCAUGGACGAAAGCCAGGGGAGCGAAAGGGAUUAGAUACCCCUGUAGUCCUGGCCGUAAACGAUGAACACUAGGUGUCGGGGGAAUCGACCCCCUCGGUGUCGUAGCCAACGCGUUAAGUGUUCCGCCUGGGGAGUACGCACGCAAGUGUGAAACUCAAAGGAAUUGACGGGGGCCCGCACAAGCGGUGGAGUAUGUGGUUUAAUUCGAUGCAACGCGAAGAACCUUACCAGGGUUUGACAUCCUGCGAAUCUCUUGGAAACGAGAGAGUGCCUUCGGGAACGCAGUGACAGGU
rnacentral:rRNA from 1 species